CGGCACGGGUGAGUAACACGUAUCCAACCUGCCGUCUACUCUUGGACAGCCUUCUGAAAGGAAGAUUAAUACAAGAUGGCAUCAUGAGUCCGCAUGUUCACAUGAUUAAAGGUAUUCCGGUAGACGAUGGGGAUGCGUUCCAUUAGAUAGUAGGCGGGGUAACGGCCCACCUAGUCUUCGAUGGAUAGGGGUUCUGAGAGGAAGGUCCCCACAUUGGAACUGAGACACGGUCCAA
rnacentral:rRNA from 1 species